rnacentral:lncRNA from 1 species
CAGAAUAGCGGGGAUAGCUUUCAUUUUAGUUUUGUUUGUCACGAGCGAAGGUUGUGAUGGUUUAUAAAUCGCGGAAAGUGGAUUUCUCGUAUCUCGGCAUCAUUUAAAGGUGGGUGGUGCUUUCCGAAGUCAUCGAAUGACCUAUUAUAUUUAUGUCACUUUUCUUGAGCAUAUAUGGAUUGUAUAUGUUUAGUUGAUAUUCAUGCAUUAUAGGGUUG